CACGCAUCGUAGUCCAUCUAAAGCUCCACCUUAUGUCCAAUUGCCGGCAUUUUCUGACCAGGCAGCAGAAGUGUCGACACACCAUGUAAAAGAGGAACUCUCUCUGCUUUUGGGGUUUUCUUUUUUCUUUUUUUCUUCAUUUAGAAGAAGUGAUCACAUACAAAGAGAUGCUAUACUGCACUUCAGUAAUCCACACGCACACAAACACACACACACACACACACACACACACACACACACAUCUUCCUCCCAACACACACGCGCACACACUCACACAUAGGAGGAAGUGUCUACAAUCGCUACAUCUCUGAGUCAGACACACUGACUGGACUCAGACCAGUGUAGACACUGUGAGAAUACCAGGGAAAAACAUGGAAUAAAGGAAUGCCAACAGGGGAUUAAAGUUAAAGAAAAUGAAAGGUUCCCAUGGAGUUGCUAAACUCUUGAAAAUACUUCCUUCCUGAAAACCUGCUAGCAUCCCACUCCAGCCAGGAUGAUGCCUGUGAGGAUGCUGUUAGUGUCAGUGCUUCCUCUGCUGGUGCAGAGCUCAGAGAUCCAGCAGGGCUCUUUUCUCAGUACAACCCAAGAUAUGCCUCCUGCGUUGGACUCCGUGGAGUGCUACAAUGACUACACAAGCCACAUACGCUGCACUUGGGAGGAGUACCCACAUGGAAAUUCAAAUUUGGUGGUAGAAGGAAGGUAAGUAGGGCUCUAAAAAUAUAGGAUAUAGGGUUUAAUGGGAAAGCCAUUCACUAACAUCAAUAAAUUGAAUUCUAGACUGCUUUAAAAGGAGGAC
rnacentral:lncRNA from 1 species